rnacentral:rRNA from 1 species
AGUGAACGCUGGCGGUAGGCCUAACACAUGCAAGUCGAACGGCAGCACAGUAAGAGCUUGCUCUUACGGGUGGCGAGUGGCGGACGGGUGAGGAAUACAUCGGAAUCUACUUUUUCGGGGGGGAUAACGGAGGGAAACUUACGCUAAUACCGCAUACGACCUACGGGUGAAAGCAGUGGAUCUUCGGACCUUUCGCGAUUGAAUGAGCCGAUGUCGGAUUAGCUAGUUGGCGGGGUAAAGGCCCACCAAGGCAACGAUGCGUAGCUGGUCUGAGAGGAUGAUCAGCCACACUGGAACUGAGACACGGUCCAGACUCCUACGGGAGGCAGCAGUGGGGAAUAUUGGACAAUGGGCGCAAGCCUGACGCAGCCAUACCGCGUGGGUGAAGAAGGCCUUCGGGUUGUAAAGCCCUUUUGUUGGGAAAGAAAAGCAGUAGGUUAAUACCCCGCUGUUCUGACGGUACCCAAAGAAUAAGCACCGGCUAACUUCGUG